AGAAACUAUCAACAAUUUUAAAUAUACGUAUACUACAUAGUAGUAAGUCAAAAGAGAAUAAUCAGAUAUAUUAUUAUUUUUCAACAGUUUUUCCUUUUUCUAUAAAUUAAUAUAUGGGGAAACGGCCUUCAUAAAUAUUAUGAAAAACAUCACCAGCGCUUGGACAGCUAAAAGUCCGAAAUUCUGGUAGAACGAACUUCCAGUUUUGAACUGAAAUCAUUUAAAAAAAUGUUUUGCUUAAAAUGUACCAAUUGAAAUUGUGAGAAUUUCAAAGAUCGCUUUUUUCGCAUAUAACAGUGAUUAAAGUCCGCAAUAUUCACAAACUUUUUUUGAACACUCUGAUAACGAUCUGGAUCAAGCACAACAAGAGUUUCUAAAGAAGAACAGAACCCAAUGAUAAUGAUAGAAUGCCCUUGAAAUUGUAAAUAACAUGGAGAAACAUUGCUUGUAUCAUUAGAACUUUCAAAAUGUUUUUUAACGUAAAGAAAAAGUGCAUUGCUAGCAGAAGCUUCAGAUCUGAAAUCAAAGUCUACUAAAGCGACGUUGACAAACAACCCGGUAAAUAGGCUAUAAACCUCAGUAGCACCAAUCCAUUUACCAUGCAAGUUGUCUCCUAAUUGAGCAUAACCUUCGGCAUCUAUACCUUUCAUCCAAGCGCUGAGCAACAACGAUUGCAAAGAAUUGAUUUCAUAAUUUCCACUACUAAAAUUACGUUUAAACCAAUUUGGAUUGGUGUAUUGAAGCCAGGAAAUUAACAUCUGUAUAUUGCGCCAACCACAGCCCCAUCCACGAUCAAUACCGGUAACUGUGAAAAAAUAAUCGAUGUCACCAUCUGCUAAUGAGCAUCCAUCUAUGCCGAAAUGCUGAAGUUGUCGUUUAAGCUGCUGCAAGCAUUUUGACAUAGUAAAUUUCGAAAUGUAAAAAGAAAUGAGUAAAUUUAAAAAAUAUUCACACGUUAAAUCUCGGUAAGCUAAAAGUCGAUUAAGAAUGCGCCGGUCAUUUUGUUAAAACAACUUUGGAAAGUACAAACGCUAAUUUCAAAAAUUAUGGCUGUCAAUUAAAGUCAUGAUAUAAAUGGCACAGCAUCCGUCCUAAAUCCAACUUUCUUAUAACCCAUGCGCGAAUGUACUAUAUUAACGCAUGCAAGUUUCAUUAGUCCAAAAUAAUCAAUUGCGAAAGGAUUACAAGUAGCAUGUAAAUAUACCAUCGAUACAUAAUUCUCCAGCAACAUGUUAACAUAUGGAGCUUUGCGUCGCCAAACCGUAUAGAUGUAUGGUGAAUGAAGAAUUUUAAAUGCUGAAUGAGAAAUCAAGUUUGAAGUACAAACCUGGUGAGAUUUGAUUUAAUCACCUCCACUAACGUUUUCUAUAAUCAUUCGCUUCAGCAGUGAGCCCCAACCUUCUGUUGAAGUAGGAGUUACAAUUUCAUACGGGUAAUUCCCGGAAUCCAUAGCAACUGGGGGCAGGUAUGAAAGGCUUCGAAGGUUAACUGCUUGCACAAUUUGCUCAACUGCUGCCUCUAGAGAUAAAGAAGAUUCUUGAUAAGAGUCACCCUCUUCUAAAAUGGUAGUGUGCAAGAUCCAUUGUUCCCAAGGAAUUGUAUUUCCCUUCCCAAACCAAGACUUUUUAGGCGAUCUUUCAUACAACAGUAAAAUCAUCUGACCAUUUGCACCAGCCUCAUUUCGAAUGGUAUCAAUAAAUUCCGCCGCUUUAGUUGCUAGUUGUUCAUUUAGUUCUGCACCAACCAGAGUAGGAACCGUAAUGUCUAAAACGUCAAUUGUCCUAGCAGGAACAGUAGAAAACUGUCUAUGAAAUAGAAUUACACCUAAAACGGCUAAAGGAUUAGACUUUGAUAUGUAAUAUUUCCAGCAACUAAUUUGACUUACCUUUUACAACCUCAGCAGCAUACUUAUAACCAAUUUUCAGUUCAAUUGUCACCGUGUUUGUCAUUUAAUCUCUAAAAUUUUGGAAGAGUAAAAUUGAGGAAUGCAAACUAAGAUACUUGCAUUGAACUUUGAACUUGGUCAAUCAAGUGAAAUACAUUACGUUCGUGCAUAUAUAGGGUCCUCCAAUUUUUUUAGGUAACGUGUUACUCGUUCUGAAUCUCAAUGUAAAUAAACACUUUCUGCAUUGUACAUUGCAAAGCGUCCACAUUUUUUU